CGGGGUAUAGCGCAGUUUGGUAGCGCGCUUGGUUCGGGACCAAGAGGCCGGGAGUUCAAAUCUCCCUACUCCGACCA
rnacentral:tRNA from 1 species